rnacentral:tRNA from 3 species
GGGCUCGUAGCUCAGUUGGUUAGAGCGCUACCUUGACACGGUAGAGGUCGCAGAUUCGAGUUCUGCCGAGCCCACCA